UGAGAGCAGAGAAAUGAUUUCCAUAGAGAGGAGGCUUUGCAUGGUCAGCUGAUCCUCCAGUGAAGUGAGAAGGUUUAUAGUCCUGUGAGUUCAACACUGCAGGACUCAGAUGUGUCAGUCAACACAGCAGAAAGCACAAGCACCAUGACUCUCAUCACCAUCCUCAUCUGGACGCUGGCCUGCUGCUGUUUCACAGGAUGCAGCGCUCAGGUGACUGUGACUCAGCCUCCAGUGGUGACAUUUACUCCAGGAUCCACUGUCACUCUCACCUGUAAGACCAGCCAAAAUGUUGCAACUUGUAGUGGUGCUCAGUGUAUGUACUGGUACCAACAGAAAUCUGGACAGCCUCCAACCAUCCUUAUAAAAUCAGCAAACAUCAGACAUUCAGGAACACCAGCUCGGUUUAGUGGCAGUGGAAGCAGCUCUGACUUCACUUUGACCAUCAGUGGAGUUCAGACUGAAGAUGCAGCAGUUUAUUACUGUAAGAGUGUUCAUGUCAUAAGCAGUGUUGAUGUGUUCACACAGUGAUUUGUCGUCGUACAAAAACCUCCCUCAG